rnacentral:rRNA from 1 species
UAGAGUUUGAUCCUGGCUCAGAACGAACGCUAGCGGUAUGCUUUAUACAUGCAAUUCAAACGAGAAAGUUCCUUCGGGGAUGAUUAGAGUGGUGCACGGAUGAGUAACACGUAGACAACCUGCCUUAAGGUUCGGAAUAACUUUUUGAAAGGAAAGCUAAUGCCGGAUAAUAAUUGGUAUUGGGUGAUAUUGAUUUGAAAGGAUUUAUUUGCCUUAAGAUGAGUCUGCGUAGCAUUAGAUUAGUUGGUGAGGUAACGGCUCACCACGGCGACGAUGUUUAGCGGAUCUGAGAGGAUGGUCCGUCACACCAUGGGAGUUGACAUUGGCAGAAGACGUUGAGCCAACCGCAAGGGAGCAGGUGUCGAUGACUGGGGUGAAGUCGUAACAAGGUAGCCGUAA